rnacentral:rRNA from 1 species
AGGACGAACGCUGGCGGCGUGCUUAACACAUGCAAGUGGAGCGACGAACCAGGGCUUGCCCUGGGGCAGAGCCGCGAACGGGUGAGUAACACGUGGGUUACCUGCCUUGAUGACCGGGACAACCCGAGGAAACUCGGGCUAAUACCGGAUGUGCCCGCAAGGGGAAAGGAAGCUUCGGCCUCCGCAUCAAGAUGGGCCCGCGGCCCAUUAGCUUGUUGGUGAGGUAACGGCUCACCAAGGCUUCGAUGGGUAGCUGGUCUGAGAGGACGAUCAGCCACACUGGGACUGAGACACGGCCCAGACUCCUACGGGAGGCAGCAGUGGGGAAUCUUGCGCAAUGCGCGAAAGCGUGACGCAGCAACGCCGCGUGGGGGAAGACGGCCUUCGGGUUGUAAACCCUUUCAGUUGGGACGAAGCUCCGUCGGUGAAUAGCCGGCUGGAGUGACGGUACCUUCAGAAGAAGCCCCGGCUAACUACGUGCCAGCAGCCGCGGU